GGAUUAGAUACCCUGGUAGUCCACGCCGUAAACGAUGAAUGCUAGCUGUUAUGGGUAUCGACCCCCGUAGUAGCGAAGCUAACGCGUUAAGCAUUCCGCCUGUGGAGUACGGUCGCAAGACUAAAACAUAAAGGAAUUGACGGGGACCCGCACAAGCGGUGGAGCGUGUUGUUUAAUUCGAUGGUAAACGAAGAACCUUACCCAGGCUUGACAUCCUCGGAAUUUUGUCGAAAGACGAGAGUGCCUUUGGGAGCCGAGUGACAGGUGUUGCAUGGCCGUCGUCAGCUCGUGCCG
rnacentral:rRNA from 1 species